rnacentral:piRNA from 1 species
GAGAAAGACUUGCAAGUUCCAGGGCGAUCU